ACUCCUACGGGAGGCAGCAGUGGGAAUAUUGCACAAUGGGGCAGCCAAGCCUGAUGCAGCCAUGCCGCGUGAUAGUCGAAGAAGGGCCUUCGGGUUGAUAAAGCACUUUCAGUAGGGAGGAAGGUAGUGUAGUUAAUAGCUGCAUUAUUUGACGUUAGCGACAGAAGAAGCACCGGCUAACUCCGUGCCAGCAGCCGCGGUAAUACGGAGGGUGCGAGCGUUAAUCGGAAUUACUGGGCGUAAAGCGCAUGCAGGUGGUUUGUUAAGUCAGAUGUGAAAGCCCGGGGCUCAACCUCGGAAUUGCAUUUGAAACUGGCAGACUAGAGUACUGUAGAGGGGGGUAGAAUUUCAGGUGUAGCGGUGAAAUGCGUAGAGAUCUGAAGGAAUACCGGUGGCGAAGGCGGCCCCCUGGACAAAGACUGACGCUCAGAUGCGAAAGCGUGGGGAGCAAACAGGAUUAGAUACCCUGGUAGACUGU
rnacentral:rRNA from 1 species